UACGUAGGGGGCGAGCGUUGUCCGGAGUUACUGGGCGUAAAGCGCACGCAGGCGGUCCGUUAAGUUUGGAGUGACAGUUGGUGGCUCAACCACCAAAGUGCUUUGAAAACUGGCAGACUUGAGGGCUUCAGAGGGACACGGAAUUCCGGGUGGAGUGGUGGAAUGCGUAGAGAUCCGGAGGAACACCAGCGGCGAAGGCGGCAUCCUGGACUGGUACUGACGCUCAGGAGCGAAAGCGUGGGGAGCGAUCCGG
rnacentral:rRNA from 1 species